UGCUCUCGCGUUCCCCGAACCCCCGAGCAAGCAGGUCUCCUUCCCCGGUUUGCUCUCGCGUUCCCCGAACCCCCGAGCAAGCAGGUCUCCUUCCCCGGUUUGCUCUCGCGUUCCCCGAACCCCUGUGCAAGCAGGUCUCCUUCCCCAGUUUGCUCUCGCGUUCCCCGAACCCCCGUGCAAGCAGGUCUCCUUCCCCGGUUUGCUCUCGCGUUCCCCGAACCCCCGUGCAAGCAGGUCUCCUUCCCCGGUUUGCUCUCGCGUUCCCCGAACCCCCGAGCAAGCAGGUCUCCUUCCCCGGUUUGCUCUCGCGUUCCCCGAACCCCCGUGCAAGCAGGUCUCCUUCCCCGGUUUGCUCUCGCGUUCCCCGAACCCCCGUGCAAGCAGGUCUCCUUCCCUGGUUUGCUCUCGCGUUCCCCGAACCCCCGAGCAAGCAGGUCUCCUUCCCCGGUUUGCUCUCGCGUUCCCCGAACCCCCGAGCAAGCAGGUCUCCUUCCCCGGUUUGCUCUCGCGUUCCCCGAACCCCCGAGCAAGCAGGUCUCCUUCCCCGCGGUUUGCAGGGGGGUUCGGGGAACGCGAGAGCAAACC